rnacentral:rRNA from 1 species
GGAGUUAGCCGGUGCUUCUUCUGCGAGUAACGUCACAGAUGUAAGGUAUUAACUUACACCCUUUCCUCCUCGCUGAAAGUGCUUUACAACCCGAAGGCCUUCUUCACACACGCGGCAUGGCUGCAUCAGGGUUUCCCCCAUUGUGCAAUAUUCCCCACUGCUGCCUCCCGUAGGAGUCUGGGCCGUGUCUCAGUCCCAGUGUGGCUGAUCAUCCUCUCAGACCAGCUAGGGAUCGUCGCCUAGGUGAGCCUUUACCUCACCUACUAGCUAAUCCCACCUGGGCUUAUCCAUCAGCGCAAGGCCCGAAGGUCCCCUGCUUUCCCCCGUAGGGCGUAUGCGGUAUUAGCAGUCGUUUCCAACUGUUAUCCCCCACAAAUGGGCAAAUUCCCAGGCAUUACUCACCCGUCCGCCGCUCGUCAUCUUCAAAAGCAAGCUUUUGAAAUGUUACCGCUCGACUUGCAUGUGUUAGGCCUGCCGCCAGCGUUCAAUCUGAGCCAGAAUCGAAACCCUCGUACGUACGUAGACGGGCGGUCGUCGGACGACGGCGACUAAGU